rnacentral:rRNA from 1 species
AUUCUGGUUGAUCCCGGCGGAGGUUACUGCUAUCGAGAUUCGACUAAGCCAUGCGAGUCGAAUGUUCUUCGUGAACAUGGCGGACUGCUCAGUAACACGUGGACAACCUACCCUUGGGACUGGGAUAAUCCUGGGAAACUGGGGAUAAUACCGGAUAGGCCACAGAUGCUGGAAUGCACUGUGGCUGAAAGCUCCGGCGCCCAAGGAUGGGUCUGCGGCCUAUCAGGGUUGUAGUGGGUGUAAUGUACCUACUAGCCUACGACGGGUACGGGUUGUGAGAGCAAGAGCCCGGAGAUGGAUUCUGAGACACGAAUCCAGGCCCUACGGGGUGCANCAGGCGCGAAAACUUUACAAUGCGGGAAACCGNGAUAAGGGAAUCUCGAGUGCCAGCAUAUAAUGUUGCUGUCCANAUGCCUAAAAAGCAUNUGUUACAAGGGCCG